UUACCAUGUGGCCAGUAUGUUCUCAAUCUCCUGAUCUUGUGGUCCAUCCACGUUGACCUCCCAAAGUGCUGGCAUUACAGGCGUGAGCAACCACACCCGGCCAAAUUUUCUCUGUUUGUCUUUAGAGAUGAGCUCUUGCUCUGUCACCUAGGCUGGAGUGCAGUGGCUCAGUAAUAGUUCACUGCAGCCUUAAACUCCUGGACUCAAAUGAUCUUCCCACCUCAGCUUUCUGAGUAGGGAACAUGACAUCCUCUUCCUAGGUUACACCCACCUGCAGAGGGCCCAGCCCCAUCACUGGAGCCACUGGAUUCUGAGCAUCAUUGCAGGAUGAGUAUUUUGUGUCAAGUGGAUUCAAGGGACAGUGCGAAGGAUCCAUGGCCUCAGUCAUGAAGACUCUCCCAAGAGCCAACCGUCCUGGGCACAUAUAAAUGAGUGGAGACAUGGAACUCACCCUUACAAGGCCUAGAACCUGACAGAGCAUACAAGACUGAAGCCCAAAUAACCA